AUUUCAGAUAAAGAGCACCUCGUCAAGGCUAACCGAAAGGGCAGAGCUGGCCAAGCUGAGUUCUUUUCUGCAUAAUGACAAAGCAGUGGUAGAACAUGUGAAUUAAGUCAAAGAAAGCUCUGCAUCACUUAAGACCAAGAGAAAGGCUUGACCUCCACCACCCACCAGACUGCUGAAGUUACUCUAUGCUGACCUGGCAAAAACGAGCAUUCAUUUACAUGUUUCCGUUACUCUAACUCUUGGGGACAUCUCUGGAACAGUCCUUCUGUUGAGAUUCUUGAAGGAGACACCAAAUAUUCCAGUGGGUGUUAUUCCUGCCCCUACAAUUGGAGUAUUCCACCUCAGAGUGUCACCCAGUAACUCUAAGCAUCUUGACACCUCUACAGCUUUGCACGUAUGCAACUGCUGCUCCUAAAAGAUAAAUUAAUAUCCAGUCACACACUUCCCUAGAGAGUGUUUCAUGGAAAUUUUUGUUGAAUAAAUAAAUAUUAAAUGCAUGAAAGACUGAUGGAAAUUACUGUAAGGCAAGUACCUAGCUCCC